CAUGCAUAAUAUCUAUUACUAUCUUUACUGUAUUUUCUCUGCUUAAGUUUAUAGCAGCAGCUUACUGCUUUAGCUGUCAGUUUAGAGAAUGCUAUAUUUGGUCGUGGUCUGGUUGUCUCGUUAAGGUCAUCUUCACCUUAACUUCUUAUCAAGCUGUAGAAAUUUUUUGAUAUGUUAGCCCUUGAAUUUUACUUCCUAGAUGUUCAGUUACCUCUAUAAAGUUAAUAUCUAAGGUAACUCUUAAUAAAUCAAUGGUAUUUUUCAUCUAGGUUGGUUGCACCAAUAUCUCUGUACAAUUUCCGUAUUUUUUAACCUUUUCCUAUCUCAUGCAGUCGUUCAGAAGUUUGAUACAUGCACUACUUGAUAAUUUCUUAGGGGUUAGACUUUGUUCAAGGAAGUGAGGGUGAAAUUAUAUUUCUUUCUCAGCUUGAAUCAUGGUAGUCGGCUGUGGUAUUGGAGGAACUCCCUGUCGUAUCUAUCCAUUCCAAGAAUUCUUGGAUUUGUUAUUCUCGUUUUAAUGUAUACAAAAGAAUUUUUAACAUGUUGAUCUUAACUGAACUUGCUGUUUUUUUUUCUCCUAGAUUUUCUUUAUCAAAAUUGACUCGCUUUUGUGUAUAAAUUUUUUUUUCUGAUGUCUUGUUUGCUAGUAGAUAAAUAAUGCAGCUUUCUCUGAUUUCAUCGUAGUUUAUGCUGGAAUAUUUUGGUCUGUUUUUGGGAACCUGUGUACAAAUGUAUGCCUUUAGAAGCAUGUUCACGGAAUUAACAUCAAUAUUUUGUUUCACUUCCUGGAAGAACUUAAACUGCCAGGCUAUGCUUCACUCUGCAGACGUGAACCUUUUGGAUACCCAAUUUGAAUGAAAAUGAAAUCAGGAACCAUUUCUUCUGAAAACUUGCUUCUGAUUGCUAAAAUUAAGUACAGAAUUUUUACCAUGUUGGAAAUUGUUAUAGUCACCUUCAGAUGCUGCAUUUCUUCAGAUAUCAUCCAGAUAAGCUACAGCAGGGACUGUUCUUCCUUGAAAUGUCACUCUAAGACUUGUUUCAAGUAUCCCAAUGGAACCACGCAAGUAGCAACCCCAUAAUUGCUGGGAAGAUAAA